rnacentral:rRNA from 1 species
CCUACGGGGGGCAGCAGUAGGGAAUCUUCCACAAUGGGCGAAAGCCUGAUGGAGCAACGCCGCGUGGGUGAAGAAGGUCUUCGGAUCGUAAAACCCUGUUGUUAGAGAAGAAAGUGCGUGAGAGUAACUGUUCACGCUUCGACGGUAUCUAACCAGAAAGCCACGGCUAACUACGUGCCAGCAGCUGUGGAAAUACGUGGGGGGCAAGCGUUAUCCGGAUUUAUUGGGCGAAAAGGGAACGCAGGCGGUCUUUUAAGUCGGAUGUGAAAGCCUUCGGCUUAACCGGAGUAGUGCAUUGGAAACUGUGAAACUGAGUGCAGAAGAGGUGAGUGGAACUCGAAGUGUAGCGGUGAAAUGCGUAGAUAUAGGGAAGAACACCAGUGGCGAAAGCGGCUCUCUGGUCUGUAACUGACGCUGAGGUUCGAAAGCGUGGGUAGCAAACAGGAUUAGAUACCCCAGUAGUC